CUCCAGGAGGUGGCCGCCGCCCAGGGGUCCUUUCGGGUUGCCUUCCCUCUUGCCGCCAGGAAAAUGCGCAAGGUUAUAUCGCAGCUUAAAGAAGGUAAAACAGACCGUCUCCUUCCCUGGGGCCCAGACGGAAAAACGCCACUCCUGAGACCCCCUUCCGCUCCCUGCAGCUCAAUCCCCUGGCCAGAUCUCUGAGCGGAGCUUCCCUAGGUGGGUCGCUCCUGACCCAAACUCUUAACUGUUCCCACCACUCUCCCGCGCCUCGGACGGAAGGUUUCUUCUAGCUAGGACCGCCGCUUAGCACGGUCCUGACCCAGAUGAGCCUGGGCCUCUUCCUGGAUCUCUGUGUCUAGCCUUGCGCCCUCUGUUCCUGCUUUCCAGCCGGGACCCCUUAGUGGGCUACUUCUCCCUGACAACACCUCUACCUGGGCUUCCCAAUUAGGCCCUGUCUUCUCCGAGGAUCGCCCGAUCUAGGCCAUCAGAGCUGGCUCCGUCUCCUGCUCUUGCGAGCCGCGGGCCUGCCGCCCUUCCCCACCACCCGCCUUAGAUGCUAGCUGCAGACCUGUGGCUGACCUCUUAAAGGAAUGCUGCAGGCCUGGCUGGGUCCCCAGGUGGAAGCAGGCAAGCCUGGCCCCGCCUACAGGUGGAAUGCUGCGGGCUUGGCCCCGCCUCCUAGGUGGGCUGCGGCGGCGGGACGCCGUCCCCUCGAAGGAAUGCAUCCGGGGCAGUAGCAGUUCCUCGAAGGGAGCUUCAGGUGGGCGCCUGCCGCGACUUACAGGGUAGUAACGCUUCCUCUCUCUCCACAGUCCCGGCCUGCGUCCCUCCCUGCGGUAAGCACUUUAUUCAAAGCUCAGAAUUGCGGGGGAAGGGAGGUGGUGGGGCCGAAACCUGGGACUUGGAGUAGGAGAGCAGGAGUGAGCCUCUGAUCGGAGGGGGCCAAGAAGAGCCCGGGGGAAAAGUAAGUACAUCAGGUAUUAUUCACACACCUGAUAAAAGGCGGGUCCGAAAAUCAAUGCAAGCCAAUGGGAAUCCUAGAGGCCUGGAGAGUGGUGAGAGCCAGCCAAUGAACGCAGGGAAGGCGGGACCCAGAUUUUGUCUGGAUGUUAGAACUCAGCUUAAACAGACCUUCAGAUGACCGAAGGGUUGCGGACAGGGGGAAACGGAUGGAGCCCAGGUCCAGCAUUCCCGUCCCAUAGGACUCCAGGAGGUCGCCCGGCGUUUCCACUGUCGCGGGUGCUACUCCACCGUCUGCGACCUCCCGCUGGACUGCCCAGUUCAGGACGUGACGGUGACUCGGGGUCAUCAGGCUAUGUUCUCCUGUACUGUGAACUUCCAGCUGCCCAAGGAAGAGAUCACCUAUUCCUGGAAGUUCGCUGGAGCUCCGGACUCAGGACGUGUCCUACUUCCGAGACAUUCCGCGGGCCGAAGGAUACCUGGCGCGCAUCCGGCCGGUGCAGCCCAAGCACCGCGGGACCUUCUCCUGCGUGAUCACACACGACCAGCGCCCCCUGGCGCGGCUCUACUUCUUUCUUAACGUGACGGGUCCGCCGCCGCGCGGGGAGACUGAGCUCCAGCUCACUUUUCGGGAAGUCUUGCGCUGGGCGCCGCGGGAGGCGGAGGUGAUUGAACCCUGGAGCCCGAGCCUGGGCGAGUUGCUGGCCAGCCCCGAGGCUCUGACGUCGGGCAAUCAGUGCCUGCUCGCGGCCCUUGUGGCCUUAGCAUCAGCCUGUGUGACCGUGCUGGCGUGGUGAGUCCCCGGGACCCGGAGUCCCAGCGUCCGUCUUUCCCCUUCCCCAGAUCCGCGAUUCUGAAUUCCCAGACUGUCCUCCCUCAGACCCAGAAGUCUGGGUCCCCCGCCUCCUAUUCAGAAGUCCAGCCCCUACUCCCUCGGGUCCAAGAAUCCAAGCCUUAUCACCCACCUGUGGGACCCAGGCUCCAGGAUCCAGAUUCCUGGUCCCUAGCCUCCCCUACCCCCCAAACACCUCCUUGUUUUCCCCAGGAUGUUCUUUCGAUGGUACUUCAGCGGCAGCUAACAAAGGUAUCUUUUCCUUCCUUAUCCUACUUACAUCCCUAAAAUAAAGAAUAUAUUCCAGGA